UUAGCGGCGGACGGGUGAGUAACACGUGGGCAACCUGCCCUGUAGAUUGGGAUAACUCCGGGAAACCGGGGCUAAUACCGAAUAAUCCAUUUCCUCACAUGGGGAGAUGUUAAAAGACGGCAUCUCGUUGUCACUACAGGAUGGGCCCGCGGCGCAUUAGCUAGUUGGUGAGGUAACGGCUCACCAAGGCGACGAUGCGUAGCCGACCUGAGAGGGUGAUCGGCCACACUGGAACUGAAACACGGCCCAGACUCCUACGGGAGGCAGCAGUAGGGAAUCUUCCACAAUGGACGAAAGCCUGAUGGAGCAAUGCCGCGUGAGUGAAGAAGGUUUUCGGAUCGUAAAACUCUGUUGUGAGGGAAGAACAAGUACGAGAGUAACUGCUCGUACCUUGACGGUACCUCAUUAGAAAGCCACGGCUAACUACGUGCCAGCAGCCGCGGUAAUACGUAGGUGGCAAGCGUUGUCCGGAAUUAUUGGGCGUAAAGCGCGCGCAGGCGGUCCUUUAAGUCUGAUGUGAAAUCCCACGGCUCAACCGUGGAAGGUCAUUGGAAACUGGGGGACUUGAGUACAGAAGAGGAAAGCGGAAUUCCAAGUGUAGCGGUGAAAUGCGUAGAGAUUUGGAGGAACACCAGUGGCGAAGGCGGCUUUCUGGUCUGUAACUGACGCUGAGGCGCGAAAGCGUGGGGAGCAAAACAGGAUUAGAUACCCUGGUAGUCCACGCCGUAAACGAUGAGUGCUAAGUGUUAGGGGGUUUCCGCCCCUUAGUGCUGCAGCUAACGCAUUAAGCACUCCGCCUGGGGAGUACGGUCGCAAGACUGAAACUCAAAGGAAUUGACGGGGGCCCGCACAAGCGGUGGAGCAUGUGGUUUAAUUCGAAGCAACGCGAAGAACCUUACCAGGUCUUGACAUCCCGCUGACCGGCCUAGAGAUAGGCUUUUCCCUUCGGGGACAGCGGUGACAGGUGGUGCAUGGUUGUCGUCAGCUCGUGUCGUGAGAUGUUGGGUUAAGUCCCGCAACGAGCGCAACCCUUGAUCUUAGUUGCCAGCAUUCAGUUGGGCACUCUAAGGUGACUGCCGGUGAUAAACCGGAGGAAGGUGGGGAUGACGUCAAAUCAUCAUGCCCCUUAUGACCUGGGCUACACACGUGCUACAAUGGACGGUACAGAGGGUCGCAACCCCGCGAGGGUGAGCAAAUCCCAUAAAACCGUUCUCAGUUCGGAUUGUAGGCUGCAACUCGCCUACAUG
rnacentral:rRNA from 1 species